AUUAGGGGAACCCUAUUAAGGAGGGGGGCCCCGAGUCCCCCUCGUUUUACAAGGGAUUCCCCUAGUAACGGCGAGUGAAGAGGGAAGAGCUCAAAUUUGAAAGCUGGUACCUUCGGUAUCCGCGUUGUAACCUCGAGACACGUUUYYYKUKCKRMRYWAKGGACAAUGUUCCUUGGAACAGGACAUCGUAGAGGGUCGAAAAUCCCGUACUUGCCAUGGAUGUACCGUGCUUUGCGAUACGUGCUCUWAGAGUCGAGUUGUUUGGGAUUGCAGCUCAAAAUGGGUGGUAGACUCCAUCUAAAGCUAAAUAUCGGGGAGAGACCGAUAGCGAACAAGUACCGUGAGGGAAAGAUGAAAAGCACUUUGGAAAGAGAGUUAAAAGUACGUGAAAUUGUCGAAAGGGAAGCGCUUGAAGUCAGCCAUGCCGCUCAGGACUCAGCCUGGCUUUUGCUUGGUGUAUUUCCUGGGUAGCAAGUCAGCAAUUGGUUUGGAUCGUCGGAGAAGCAUAGUCGGAAUGYKSYGCYYKYSKSCRYSUUAUAGCCUUCUAUUGGAUACGACGAUAUAGACCAAGGAACGCAGCGCGCCUUAUGGCGGGUCUUCGGACACCUUCGCGCUUAGGAUGCUGGCAUAAUAGGGGGGGGGGUGCCCGCCUCCUUCUAA
rnacentral:rRNA from 1 species